rnacentral:rRNA from 1 species
CACGGUGAAAGAUUUCAUCAUCUCUAGAUGAGCUCGCGUCUGAUUAGCUUUCCGUCUACGCCUACGGUUCUCUAGGUACGAUCUUCCACUGGUCUGAGAGGAUGAUCCUCCUCACUGGGACUGAAAACCGGCCCAGACUCCUACGGAAGGUUUACGCGGGGAAUUUUCCGAUAUGGGUGGAAGCCUGACGGAUACCGACCGCGUGGGGGAGGAAAGCCUUUGGGUUGUAAACCCCUUUUCUCAGGGAAGAAUAAUGUGACGGUACCUGGGGAAUCAGCCUCGGCUAACUCCGUGCCAGCAGCCGCGUUAAUACGGAGGAGGCAAGCCUUUUCCGGAAUGUUUGGGCGUAAAGCCUCCGUAGGUGGCUAUUCAAGUGUGCUGUUACAGCCGGGAGUUAACCUACUGACAGGCAGUGUACUCUGAAUAGCUUGAGUGCGGUAGGGCCAGAGGGAAUUCCUGGUGUAACGGUGAAUUGUCUAUAGAUCAUGAAUAUCACCGGUGGCGAAUGCUCUCUGCUGGGCCGAAACUGACUCUUGGGGACCAAAGCUAGGGGAGCGAAUGGGAUUAGAUACUCCAGUAGUCAG